CGGGACGGGUGAGUAAUGUCUGGGAAACUGCCUGAUGGAGGGGGAUAACUACUGGAAACGGUAGCUAAUACCGCAUAACGUCGCAAGACCAAAGAGGGGGACCUUCGGGCCUCUUGCCAUCGGAUGUGCCCAGAUGGGAUUAGCUAGUAGGUGGGGUAACGGCUCACCUAGGCGACGAUCCCUAGCUGGUCUGAGUGGAUGACCAGCCACACUGGAACUGAGACACGGUCCAG
rnacentral:rRNA from 1 species